UACGUAGGGCGCAAGCGUUGUCCGGAAUUAUUGGGCGUAAAGAGCUCGUAGGCGGCUUGUCACGUCGGGUGUGAAAGCCCGGGGCUUAACCCCGGGUCUGCAUUCGAUACGGGCUAGCUAGAGUGUGGUAGGGGAGAUCGGAAUUCCUGGUGUAGCGGUGAAAUGCGCAGAUAUCAGGAGGAACACCGGUGGCGAAGGCGGAUCUCUGGGCCUUACCUGACGCUCAGGCGCGAAAGCUAGGGGAGCGAACUGG
rnacentral:rRNA from 1 species